GUCCUUGCUGUAAACGAUGUAUACUUGGUGUAACCGGACUCAACCCUGGUUGUGCCGUAGCUAACGCGAUAAGUAUACCGCCUGGGGAGUACAGUCGCAAGGCUGAAACUCAAAAGAAUUGACGGGGACCCGCACAAGCAGUGGAGCAUGUGGUUUAAUUCGAUGCAACGCGAAGAACCUUACCCAGGUUUGACAUGCAGUGGAAUAUAGCAGAAAUGUUAUAGCCCUUCGGGGCCGCUGCACAGGUGCUGCAUGGCUGUCGU
rnacentral:rRNA from 1 species